rnacentral:rRNA from 1 species
CCCUGCCAUUUGUACACACCGCCCGUCGCUUCUACCGAUUGAGUGGUCCGGUGAGCCUUUUGGAUCGCCAGCAAUGGCGAGAAAUCAAGCAAACCUUAUCACUUAGAGGAAGAACAAGUCGUAACAAG